UACGUAGGGAGCAAGCGUUGUCCGGAAAUCAUUGGGCGUAAAGAGCGCGUAGGCGGUCCGGUAAGUCGGUUGUGAAAACUGGGGGCUCAACCCUCAGAGCCGACCGAUACUGCCGGGCUAGAGUCCGGAAGAGGCGAGUGGAAUUCGUGGUGUAGCGGUGAAAUGACGCAGAUAUCAGGAGGAACACCGGUGGCGAAGGCGGUGUCUGGGCCGAACUGACGCUGAGGAGCGAAAGCGUGGGGAGCGAACAGG
rnacentral:rRNA from 1 species